UCUUGGUUCAUUAGAGNAAGUAAAAGUCGUAACAAGGUUUCCGUAGGU
rnacentral:rRNA from 1 species